rnacentral:rRNA from 1 species
AGUGAACGCUGGCGGCAGGCCUAACACAUGCAAGUCGAACGGCAGCUCAGUAAGAGCUUGCUCUUACGGGCGGCGAGCGGCGGACGGGUGAGGAAUACAUCGGAAUCUACUUUUUAGUGGGGGCUAACGUAGGGAAACUUACGCUAAUACCGCAUCUGACCUACGGGUGACAUCAGGACAUCUUCGGAUCUUUCGCGAAUGAAUGAGUCCUUGUCGGAUUAGCUAGUUGGCGGGGUAAAGGCCCACCAAGGCGACGAUCCGUAGCUGGUCUGAGAGGUUGAUCAGCCACACUGGGACUGAGACACGGUCCAGACUCCUACGGGAGGCAGCAGUGGGGAAUAUUGGACAAUGGGCGCAAGCCUGAUCCAGCCAUACCGCGUGGGUGAAGAAGGUCUUCGGAUUGUAAAGCCCUUUUGUUAGGGAAGAAAAUCAGCAGGUUAAUACCCUGCUGUUCUGACGGUACCCAAAGAAUAAGCACCGGCUAACUUCGUG